ensembl:misc_RNA Metazoa_SRP Metazoan signal recognition particle RNA
GCCGGGUGUGGUGGCAUGCACCUGUAAUCCCAGCUACUUGGGAGGCUGAGGCAGGAGAAUCACUUGAACCUGGGAGGUGGAGGUUGCAGUGAGCCAAGAUUGCACUGCUGCACUCCAGCCUGGGUGACAGAGUGAGACUCUGCCUCAA